GUGGUUUUUAGCUUGUUAUCGGCGGUCGGCUGUGUACAACUUCCGCCUAACAUGCCUAUUCUGUCGUCCCUCAAGGCUUGGAUUGGCUGAACAAGUUGUGGGUUUCCUGUAUUGCUUUCCUAACAUAUGGUAUUGAUUUGGCUUAUGUUAGUUCUUUGUCAUUCGUCAUGUGUGACGUCAGAUGAACCAUAAACACGUCUCUUUGAACCACAUCAUUAAUAAUGCUUGUGUUGAUGUAGUGGCGCAUUGAGCCUUGCUAGGUCUCUUCGAUGAAGUGCUUGAUGUGGGCAUGGGUUUCUCGGGAUCCUUGUUAUGUCCUUUAUUAGUCUAUAUGCUUUGUAAAUGACUGCUUGACACGUGUUGGCUUGAAAAAGUGUGUUGGGCUUUGUCUAAAAGGAAUGUUACCUGGU
rnacentral:misc_RNA from 1 species